UCUCUUAGGUUUGAACACAUGAAUGUAAUUUCUGAAUCAUUUGGAAAUUCUAUGUGGAAUUUUUUGAGGAAUUGUCAAAACAAUUUUGGACCAGUAUUUUGAAAUUUUUUUUCAAACAAAAAACAUGUUGUUUUCUAUAUUGACAGCAUACACACUGGCAAGGUCUAGCUGCAAUUUGAGAAGAACUCGGAAAUCAGGAGAUAAGUAUUCUUGCACUCAAAAGAAGGGCAGAAGUCAGCCUCCCUUGUGAUCUACAGUCUGGAUCUCCUAUCUGAAACCCUGCUUCCGGCGGCAUGGCUAUUCAUAUAUGUGAGCUGAAAUCAAAGCUAAAGAAGGUGAAGUCCCACUAUUUUGCCCUAGUCACUCCCAAACUUGAAUCCUUCCCACCAAACCUCCCCCAAUAGCUUCUUUGUGGCGCACUCCAUGACCAGCAGGGAAGGACGACCACGAGUCGAGGAUUCUUCUGCAAAUCACGCUUUAUUGGAGCCUCUUGGUUGAAAGGAGAGUGGAAGCGAGGGGCGCCAAGCAGCGGCUGCUUAUAUAGGGGAGCAGGCUAAAGCACAGGAGCUAUGGUGAGAAACUGUUAACUGUGAACUCCAGAAACACCGGCCAGAUCCCCAUUAACUGUUACGCUGUGUUCCUUCUAAUAGACUGGGUACUGAUUAAAAGAAAAAUGAUCACACUCACACAUCUGGACUCACGAAGGCAGCUUCCAGUGAAUGCUUUCUCUUCUUGGAGAAAAUGUCCUGAGACAAGAAUUUUUGGGUCACGGUUUAAUCAAUUUUCAAUGUUUUAAAUCCUGCUUGCAGCCAACAUAGGAUUAUAUUUGGCACUUGGGGACAAAGAUGGCAUGGAGAACUAAAACCUGCAGAUAAUCCUAUAAGCUCAUUUAGAACAAAGGUUUAAUUAUACCCCUAUCAAGUGAGUCUUUUAUCUGAGCUGAGUGGAAAUAAACAACAAAUUGGUGAUCUUCAUCUGGUCUGCUUGCUUCUGGAGGCCUUGGCAAGAGGCACACACACUGGAGUGGAGGAGACAGGCAAAGAUUCUGCACAGGACAACAGGAUUAUGCUUGGUCGUUUUGGUCAGAGAUGUGUUAAACGCAUCACUGCAUACAUCUUUGGCCUUUCUACGCGAAGAAAUAAACAUUUGACAAUUUGUUUCAGGGUGGACUGAAACUCGUCUGGGAAUGUUAUGUACUUUCUAAUGACUAAUUUUCCUCCUUUGUAAACCAAGAGGUUAAGUGGUACUGUUUCUGGAGAUGGAGGUGGCCAAGUGCCAGGGUUUGUGUGGGUGAAACAGAAACAAGAGAGGGCACCAAUGGGGGACUAACUUGUGCCGUGGCCAAGGGGCUGGGCUCUAGUCCUUUUAUGUCAUCUUGUACCGUCUGCUUGUCAACAAUCAUAAGAAGCUGAUGUCUAGAUGUAAAGCCUAUGGCACCCUAGCAGGAUAUCCAUCUUAUCUGUUAGAAAGUUCUUUAAUCUACUUCCAUUACCAACACUGCAGUAUGGAUUUAUUGUGAAAGUAUUUAAUAAUUGUUACAACACCAGGCAUUGACCUACAAGAAUGGGAACAGAUGGUUAUUUGGAAUCUAAGGUCCAAUUGCCUAUUGCAUGGACCCUGUAAUGGCCUUCAAGUGGACCCUCUACAGGUAGAGUGAUCUUUGUCAAGGGUAUAUACCAUUUGGUUAUACCUGCCUUUGGGUUCUUAAAACAUUUCUAUGAUUCCUUCCUAUAACCUUUAAGACAAAGAGCAUCCUUUGUACAGUGUUUAAGUACUCCGUUACUAUGUGUUUGUGGUACCAUGGAUAACUUAUCUCCUUUACGAAGAUAUCACCUCCAUGAAAGGAGAGAUGACACCCCCUCCCAUAAUUACGUUCUCAACGAUCAUUCAAUAUAGUAUUGACUUAGACCUGGAAUUUACUGAAUGCUCUUUGAAUGAAUAAAUUAAUAAGAAAAUAAUCCAAACCUUCCCCCAUG